AAUGAACGUUGGCAGCGUGGAUUAGGCAUGCAAGUCGAGCGACAAGGUCCCUUCGGGGACUGGAGGAGCGGCAAACGGGGUAGUAAGGCAUCGGAACGUACCCUCUUGUCCGGGAUAGCCGCGGGAAACUGCGAUUAAUACCGGAUAAUCUCAGCGCUUGUGAUGAGUGCUGAGCAAAGGUCCGCCGCGGGAGGAGCGGCCGAUGUGAUAUCAGGUAGUUGGCGGGGUAACGGCCCACCAAGCCUUCGACGUCUAGGGGAUGUGAGAGCAUGAUCCCCACCACUGGGACUGAGAUACUGCCCAGACACUUACGGGUGGCUGCAGUCGAGAAUCUUCGCAAUGGGCGCAAGCCUGACCGAGCGACGCUGCGUGCGGGAUGACGGCCUUGGGUUGUAAACCGNUGUCAGAGGGGAUGAAAGCGCAAGCUUGACAG
rnacentral:rRNA from 1 species